CCUACGGGAGGCAGCAGUGGGGAAUUUUGGACAAUGGGCGCAAGCCUGAUCCAGCAAUGCCGCGUGAGUGAAGAAGGCCUUCGGGUUGUAAAGCUCUUUUGUCAGGGAAGAAACGGCUGCGGCUAAUAUCCGCGGCUAAUGACGGUACCUGAAGAAUAAGCACCGGCUAACUACGUGCCAGCAGCCGCGGUAAUACGUAGGGUGCAAGCGUUAAUCGGAAUUACUGGGCGUAAAGCGUGCGCAGGCGGUUUUGUAAGUCUGACGUGAAAGCCCCGGGCUCAACCUGGGAAUUGCGUUGGAGACUGCAAGGCUUGAAUCUGGCAGAGGGGGGUAGAAUUCCACGUGUAGCAGUGAAAUGCGUAGAGAUGUGGAGGAACACCGAUGGCGAAGGCAGCCCCCUGGGUCAAGAUUGACGCUCAUGCACGAAAGCGUGGGGAGCAAACAGGAUUAGAUACCCUGGUAGUCCACGCCCUAAACGAUGUCUACUAGUUGUCGGGUUUUAAUUAACUUGGUAACGCAGCUAACGCGUGAAGUAGACCGCCUGGGGAUACGGUCGCAAGAUUAAAACUCAAAGGAAUUGACGG
rnacentral:rRNA from 1 species